UCUGGUGAAACGAGCGAACUCGUGCACCAGAUGCACCGGUGAUAUAUGGCUCGUUCGAUGCAAAACUAAGGGACAUGAUCCGGUUAGCACAUGGACCUGAUGGUACAUUUGCGAAACAGUCCUUGCAGUACAUCUAAAUCAAGUGAAUGGACCUUCCCGAGCCCAGUUCGUCCCCUUGCCAUAUCAUGUACCAUCGCAGCAGGCUUGAGCUAGGGUCAGACUUCCAGGGCUUCCGCCGUUAACGCACCACUGCCCUGGAUCCAGAUCAUGUGGUCCACCGGCGGCUCACAGCGAUUUCGUCUACAUAGCGACCCGGCGCUGUAGCUGCUUACGAGCCACCCAUCAUCUUUCUACAGCUCAAGGAUCCGAGGAAAACAGGCAAAUUUAUAACUGGAUGACGGUCUGCAGCAUUGAAGUGAUUAAAACUCUGACAUUACUCAUGCCUGAAUUUCAAGAAAUCUCAAAUGGACAUUGCAAUAGAAUAUGUAAAGUUUGAGCUGUAUGAAUAUCUGUAGAUUCUGCUUUUCAAGUAGCAGUCUUACUCUGCUGUAAAUGAAGAAGAUAUGUUAGACUGCAUAUGAAGGCAUGUGUCCUCUUCAUUUAUACGGUUCAUCUAUCUGACCGAGCUUCUGUUUUAAACCAUGCAUUGUACCUGAGAAAAUCGAAGUUGUGCUCUUGUAUCAGCUUAUGUAUCUGUUUCCUGAUUACUCAUUUUUGUCUUUGGAAAAAAUGCAGAAUUUUCAUGUAAUUUAUUCUUCAGUCAGUUGGAAAGAUCAAAAGUUAUAACUCUGUAAAACAAAUUGACCAGGAUAUAACUCUGUACUAUUAAGUACUCCCUCCGU